rnacentral:misc_RNA from 1 species
GAUGAAGAACGUAGCGAAAUGCGAUAAGUAAUGCGAAUUGCAGAAUUCAGUGAGUCAUCGAAUCUUUGAACGCACAUUGCGCCCUGUGGUAUUCCGCAGGGCAUGCCUGUUCGAGCGUCAUUUCAACCCUCAAGCUCUGCUUGGUGUUGGGCCCUGCCCGCUGCGGCCGGCCCUAAAGACAGUGGCGGUGCCGCCUGGCCCUGAGCGUAGUACAUCUCUCGCUCCAGUGCCCGGUGGUAGCCUGCCAGAACCCCAACUCUCGUGGUUGACCUCGGAUCAGGUAGGGAUACCCGCUGAACUUAAGCAUAUCAAUGAGCGGAGGA